CUUUGUUGCUGCGCACAGGCUUUCUCUAUUGCAUCGAGUGGGGGCUACUCUUCGUUGCGGUGCUCGGGCUUCUCAUUGCGGUGGCUUCUCUUGUUGCGGAGCACGGGCUCUAGUAGUUGUGGCACGUGGGCUCAGUAGUUGUGGCGCACGGGCUUAGUCACUCUGCGGCAUGAGGGAUCUUCCUGGACC